GAUGAACGCUGGCGGCGGGCCUAAUACAUGCAAGUCGAGCGACCAGACAAUAAGCUUGCUCCUCUGACGUUAGCGGCGGACGGGUGAGUAACACGUGCAUAACCUACCUAUAAUUCUGGGAUAACUUCGGGAAACCACAUCUAAUACCAGAGAAUAUAUUGAACCGCAGGGAUCAAUAGUGAAAGGCGGUUUUGCUGUCACUAAGAGCUGCAUCCGCGCUGCAUUAGCUAGUUGGUAAGGUAACGGCCUACCAAGGCAACGAUGCGUAGCUGACCUGAGAGGAUGAUCGGCCACACUGGAACUGAGACACGGUCCAGACUCCUACGGGAGGCAGCAGUGGGGAAUAUUCCGCAAUGGGCGAAAGCCUGACGGAGCAAUGCCGCGUGAGUGAUGAAGGUCUUCGGGUUGUAAAGCUCUUUUAUUAGGAAAGAACAACUGUGUAAGUAUCUAUGCACGUCUUGACGGUACCUAAUCAGUAAGCCACGGCUAACUUCGUG
rnacentral:rRNA from 1 species